rnacentral:rRNA from 1 species
AUGUCAACGACAACAAUGAUGCCGCCACCAUCUCCUAUUCCGCGCAGCUUCACUUUCACCGCCCCUCGCCGGCCCAGAUUCCCUUCGCCGGACCAGCUUCCUCUCCUCCGGCGCGACGUCCUUCGCGCCCUUGCACGCGCCCCCACGGUAAUCUUAGGCGCCCUCGGGUCGUCGGCGCUCCUGCGCCUCCGGUUUGUCGGUCCACUAACCCCGCGUCUUCGAAUGCGCGGCUGCGGGCUCGCGCUCCAUGACACUACUCCGCCUCGGCGACCUCUACUCCGACGUCUAUGGUUCAGUAGGCUGCCAUGGUUGCCUACAGCUUACCCGACAACUCACCAAGACUCAUCUCCCCCAAGAAGGUUUACAGAAAAUAUCAAAGAUUCAAAGAUACAAAGCGCCUAG